GGGGUUUUAGCUCAAUAGGAGAGCGACCGGCAUUUAGCCGGGAGGUUUUGGUGCAACUCCAUUAAACCCCACCA
rnacentral:tRNA from 1 species